UACAGAGGUCUCAAGCGUUGUUCGGAAUUAUUGGGCGUAAAGGGUGCGUAGGCGGUUCGGUCAGUUGGGUGUGAAAAGUCGAGGCUCAACCUCGAAAUUGCACCCAAUACUACCGAGCUAGAGUACUGCAUAGGUAGCUGGAACUUACGGUGUAGCAGUGAAAUGCGUAGAUAUCAGGAGGAACACCGGUGGCGAAGGCGGGUCUCUGGGCCGAUACUGACGCUGAGGAGCGAAAGCGUGGGGAGCGAACAGG
rnacentral:rRNA from 1 species